rnacentral:snoRNA from 1 species
ACCCUUCCGAUUCCUUAGCCUUCAGAUCUAAAUCUUGUUCUGAGUGGCUGAAAAGGGAAGAAAACGAAAACUGAAGUGGCUUUGGCGUCUUUAAUGACAUACGAGUUCAUUUAAAACAUUA